AAUUCUCAACCUUCCUAGCUUGUGAAAGCUAGUCAGGCUUGGAUUAUGGAAGCAUUGCUGGCUUUCGAAGUCGGCUCUUCUGAAAUGCAUUAGCAAAAUCAUUGCUGCUCAUCAUUGAUAUGAUAAUUAUCUAUAUCAUUGAGGAGUUCAGUUUGUCCUAUUUUGCUUUCUAACCGUCUGAUUAAAGACAACUUGACAA
rnacentral:misc_RNA from 1 species